GGGAGCGUAAGUUUCGACAAGCGCUGCUCUUAAAAUAAGCAAAUCCAGUAUUCUAGAACCUGGUAAAACUUCUAGAAACUUAUAAUUGCUAACUUAUUUAAUAAUAGGCAACCAGCUUUAGCAUUAGCUUAACUGGCAUCAUUACUAUCAACUCCUGAUAGGUAGCUAAUGGUGUUAUAUUAUCAGGAUAUGCAAUGCUUUUCCCUUAGGCAUUGUGAACCUUAAAGGGAUUAAGAUGAUAAACAUUUUUUCUGUUUCUUAUUUGUCAUCCCAACAACAAAACAGAAUACAUUUGUAGAAUUAUUUUGGGAAGGCGUUUGGACGCGAUUUCAACAUCGCCGCUUCCACAA
rnacentral:tmRNA from 1 species